rnacentral:rRNA from 1 species
AGGUCAAGCUAUAACGGGCUCACGGUGGAUACCUAGGUACGCAGAGGCGAAGAAGGACGUGGUUACCGACGAUACGCUUCGGGGAGCUGGAAGCAUGCAUUGAUCCGAAGAUUUCCGAAUGGGGCAACCCUAAGUACGGCCCGCUGAAUCCAUAGGCGGGCGCGAGCGAACCCAGCGAACUGAAACAUCUUAGUAGCUGGAGGAAGAGAAAGAAAACUCGAUUCCCGAAGUAGCGGCGAGCGAACUGGGAAGAGCCUAAACCAGUGGUUUUUACCACUGGGGUUGUGGGACGGCGAUAUGGACCUGAAAAGUUAGACGAAGCAGCUGAGAACUGCACCAGAGAAGGUGAAAGUCCUGUAGUCGAAAGCUGGCAAGGCCUAGCCGGAUCCCGAGUAGGCCGGGGCACGAGAAAUCCCGGUUGAAUCCGCGAGGACCACCUCGUAAGGCUAAAUACUCCUGCGUGACCGAUAGUGAACCAGUACCGCGAGGGAAAGGUGAAAAGAACCCCGGGAGGGGAGUGAAAUAGAACAUGAAACCGUGAGCUUACAAGCAGUUAGAGCACGAUUAAACGUGUGAUAGCGUGCCUGUUGAAGAAUGAGCCGGCGACUUAUAGGCACUGGCAGGUUAAGACGAGAAUGUCGAAGCCAAAGGGAAACCGAGUCUGAAUAGGGCGUAUUUGUCAGUGUUUAUAGACCCGAACCCGGGUGAUCUAACCAUGUCCAGGAUGAAGCUUGGGUGAUACCAAGUGGAGGUCCGAACCGACCACCGUUGAAAAGGUGGCGGAUGAGGUGUGGUUAGGGGUGAAAUGCCAAUCGAACCCGGAGCUAGCUGGUUCUCCCCGAAAUAUGUUGAGGCAUAGCGGUCAUGAUUAUAGCUGGGGGGUAAAGCACUGAUUCGGUGCGGGCUGGGAGACCGGUACCAAAUCGAGUCAAACUCAGAAUACCCAGUGGACACAUGGCCAGUCAGACGGUGGGGGAUAAGCUUCAUCGUCGAAAGGGAAACAGCCCAGACCACCAGCUAAGGUCCCCAAAUCAAUGCUAAGUGGGAAAGGAGGUGGGAUUGCAGAGACAACCAGGAGGUUUGCCUAGAAGCAGCCAUCCUUGAAAGAGUGCGUAAUAGCUCACUGGUCAAGCGAUCCUGCGCCGAAAAUGAACGGGACUAAGCAUUGUACCGAAGCUGUGGACUUGUUUUUAACAAGUGGUAGGGGAGCGUUCUGUUUUGGGAGAAGCAUUAGCGAGAGCAGAUGUGGACGAAACAGAAGUGAGAAUGUCGGCUUGAGUAGCGAAAAUAUGUGUGAGAAUCACAUACCCCGAAACCCUAAGGAUUCCUCCGGAAGGCUCGUCCGCGGAGGGUUAGUCGGGACCUAAGGCGAGGCCGAAAGGCGUAGUCGAUGGACAACCGGUUAAUAUUCCGGUACCGAUGUCGGAUUGUGGCGGGGGACGGAGAAGGCUAAGACAGCUGGGAGUUGGUUACCAGUUCAAGCAUACGAGGUGAUGAGGGACGGCGAAAACGUUCUGAGCUGAGUUGUGAGUACGACCCGUUACGACGGGGAAGUGUCUGAUGUCAGGCUUCCAAGAAAAGCCCGAACCACGUUAAUCCGAUAUUGCCCGUACCCGAAACCGACACAGGUAGGGAGGUAGAGUAUACCAAGGGGCGCGAGAUAACUCUCUCUAAGGAACUCGGCAAAAUUGCCCCGUAAGUUCGCGAGAAGGGGUGCCACCGAGAGGUGGUCGCAGUGAAGAGUCCCAGGCGACUGUUUACCAAAAACACAGGUCUCCGCUAAGUCGCAAGACGAUGUAUGGGGGCUGACGCCUGCCCAGUG